UAUAUAUAUAUAUAUAUAUAUAUAUAUAUAUAUAUAUAUAUAGAUAUAUAUGUAUGUAUGUAUGUAUAUAGAUAGAUAGAUAGAUAGACAGAUAGAUACAUAUACAUAUACAUAUGUAUAUGUAUAUGUAUAUAUGACUCAAUGCCCCGCACCUGGAUCCUGGAAUGCCUAGAAAUAUACUGCAUAGUUCUGCAUAGGGCUGAACCCCCUCAGUGAGAUCAUCAACAAGACUGGCUAUGGAUACCGACUACAGAGUGGAGCAGUUGUCAGCCACUUCCUGUACAUGGAUGACAUCAAGCUGUAUGCCAAGAGUGAAUGAGACUGAUCCACACCACCAGUAUAUACAGAAAUGACAUCGGAAUGUCGUUUGACUGGAGAAAUGUAGUUGGAUGAUAACAAAGAGAGGGAAGGUAGUCAGAACUGAGGGGAUCGAACUACCAGAAUGCAACAUUGCAGGCACAGAGGACAGCCACAAUUACCUGGGGAUCCCAGGUCAGGCAAGUCCUGAGGAGUCAACAGAAUGGGAAGAACAAGAUCCGGGCUAUCAACACCUACGCCCUGCCCGUGAUCAGGUACCCUGCUGGGAUAAUAAGCUGACCAAAGGAGGAGAUAGAAGCCACUGACAUCAAGACAAGGAACUUCUGACCAUGCAUGGAGGGUUUCACCCCAAGUCCAGCACCCUGAGGCUGUACGCUAAACGGAAGGAAGAAGGCCAACGGACAUCGAUGAAUGCAUCUUCCUGAUGCAUUUGUGGAUGUCCGUUGGCCCCAACCGACCGCGUGCUCAGUGAAUACCUCAGGCAACAGAAACACGAGGAAGAGGAGGAACCAUCAUGGAAGGAUGGUACGGCACGGUAUGUACCACAGGCAGAUAGAGGAGGUGGCUGGCAUCCAGAAAUCCUACCAGUGGCUGGACAAAGCUGGACUGAAAGACGGCACAGAGGCACUAAUCAUGGCAGCACAGGAACAAGCUCUGAGCACAAGAUCCAUAGAGGCUGGGGUCUAUCACACCAGGCAAGACCCCAGGUGCAGGCUGUGCAAAGAUGCCCCUGAGACAAUCCAGCCCAUAACAGCAGGGUGCAAGAUGCUAGCAAGCAGGAAGAAGGAUAAUGAGAAGCUUGAGAAAUACCAAGGGCUCAGAGAAGAUGUGGAGGGUGAAGGUUCCCAUUGGUAAUCGAAACACUAGGUGCAGUGACUCUAAAGCUAGGCGAGUGGCUCCAGCAGAUCCCAGGAACACCAUUGGACAUCUCUGUCCAGAAAAGCGCAGUCCUAGGAACAGCUAAGAUACUGCGCAGGACCCUCAAGCUCCCAGGCCUCUGGUAGAGGACCCGAGGAUAGACCGACCGCAGGGGCGAGUGGGGAAUUCUAACAAAGAUGUCUUGAUUUAAAAAAAAAAUAGAUAACUAACAGACGUUAAAAUAUUUCAAUAUAUUUCAAAUAAAGUCAUAAUUAGAGGGGACGCCCAUGAGAGCACUCAGCCUCACCAAAUUAACAUCUGCCCUGUUGUUGAGAAUAAAACAGACUUUGGGCAGGUAAGCAAACAAAUCUGAACAAAUUUGAACUUUGAUGUUAAACAAGAGCUGAAGUAAAACAGCCUCCACCUACAAACACAUGCAUUAUAAAACAAGUCUAAACGCUCACUGGAGGCUGAUUACAAAAUGAGAGGACUCACACUGCUCUGUUUGGUGGGAUUCAUUCUCACAGCUUUGCUGCAUGAAGGAAGCACAGCACCAGCAAAGAAUAAUGUCCAUAAUGAAGGCAACUCAGAAAAGACCAUAAUCUCAGUGUUGUGCCAUGGGUGCUGGCAUGGCUUUGAAGGUACACGUGAUGCAACCGAAUCAGCUGAGGGAAAUGACACACAGAACAAGACCUUGCAUCUUCAUCCAAAUAAUGCUACUCAUGCUGGAAAUGCCACAGAGGUUCAUCACAACAAUACAGCUGCAGCAAAACUGAUAGAAGACCCGAGGCUGAUCACAUCCACGAUGAGAGGACUCACACUGCUCUGUUUGGUGGGAUUUAUUCUCACAGCGUCGCUGCAUGAAGGAGGCGCAGCACCACCAUUGGAUAAAGCUGGCAACUGGCAUCCUCUUGAAAACCCUGCCGCUUUUCCAACUGCUCCACCUCAUAACGAGACCUUGCAUCCAAAUAAUGCUACUCAUGCUGGAAAUGCCACAGAGGUUGUUCAUCACAACAAUACAGCUGCAGCAAAACUGAUAGAAGACCCGUGAUGCUAAAAAUGUUGAAACAUGAAUCUUCACAGAGACAGACGACCGUGAUUCUGCUGGUGUUACUGUCUACUCUGAAUAAACACUAAAAUGAUGGUGUGAGAAAUGUUUUCCUCAUUUGUUAACAUGUAUCAUAUCAGGUCAUUUAAAAUGUGUUUUUCACCCGAGAGCUCAAACGUUCAUGUCCAAACAAUCAUAAAACACCUACUCUGAUAAAAUGAGACAAAACAGGAAUUCAUUACUGAGGCGACUUAAUCAAACUUUCAUAACACUUAAGCAUUGCCUGAUUAUUUAAGGCUUGAUAUAAUGAAGGCAUCACAGUGAGUCGGUACCAUACUGACACACUGCCGACUUCUUUAUGAGCAUCAUCACUGCAGUUGAUUUAAACUCUUUUGUCCUGUUGCUGUUUUAAACACCAAAUGAGCAUAAAUCCACAACAACAGUUUGUGACAAACUAAGUCGACAUGACAACACCUGUGUGUUUCGGUGAGCCGCUGGCUGCUUUUGAAAAUUUAGGCAAACUAACAUGACGACGCCUCUCUGUGGGGCUGCCCACAUUCAGGUCCAGACCAAGAAGGCUAGGCAGCGCCUGUAUCACCUCUGACAACUAAGGAAGUUCAGGGUCUCUCCAAAGAUCCUCAGGAUCUUCUAUACAGGCGCUGUGGAGAGCAUCCUCACACAGAACAUGACAGCGUGGUUCGGGAACAGCUGUGUGAAGGACCAAAAAGCUCUCCAGAGAGUGAUCCGUACAGCAGAACGCUGCUGCAGGAUUGCUCUCCCCCACUUCAGGACACCUACACCAGGAGAUGCCGGACUAGAGCAGCGCAGAUACUGAAGGACCCGUCCCAUCCUGGCAACAAACUGUUCCAACUUCUACAAUCUGGUAGAAGGUUCCGCAUCAUCCGGGCAAGGACAGAGAGGCUCAAGAAGACCCUAAACCAACACCCCCCCCCACACACACACACACACACGCC
ensembl:lncRNA